GUCCACACGGUAAACGAUGGAUACUCGCUGUUGGCGAUAUACGGUCAGCGGCUUAGCGAAAGCGUUAAGUAUCCCACCUGGGGAGUACGCCGGCAACGGUGAAACUCAAAGGAAUUGACGGGGGCCCGCACAAGCGGAGGAACAUGUGGUUUAAUUCGAUGAUACGCGAGGAACCUUACCCGGGCUUAAAUUGCAAAUGAAUAAUCUGGAAACAGAUUAGUCUUCGGACUUUUGUGAAGGUGCUGCAUGGUUGUCGU
rnacentral:rRNA from 1 species